GCCAGUGUGGCGUAGUGGUUUGAGCAUAAGAUUUCAACUCUGGAGACCAGGGUUGGAUUCCCUAUUCAGUCA